AAUUGUUCGCAAUGGGCGCAAGCCUGACGACGCAACGCCGCGUGGAGGAUGAAGGUCUUCGGAUUGUAAACUCCUGUUGCCUGGGACGAAUGGCUCCAACCUAAUACGUUGGAGUGUGACGGUACCAGGUGAGGAAGCCCCGGCUAACUCUGUGCCAGCAGCCGCGGUAAUACAGAGGGUGCGAGCGUUGUCCGGAAUCACUGGGCGUAAAGGGCGCGUAGGCGGCCUGAUAAGUAGGGGGUGAAAUCUCGCGGCUCAACUGCGAGGCUGCCUCCUAAACUGUCGGGCUCGAGCACAGUAGAGGCAGGUGGAAUUCUCGGUGUAGCGGUGGAAUGCGUAGAGAUCGGGAAGAACAUCGGUGGCGAAGGCGGCCUGCUGGGCUGUUGCUGACGCUGAGGCGCGACAGCGUGGGGAGCAAAC
rnacentral:rRNA from 1 species